AUAUUUACCUGGCAGGAGACAUACCAUGAUCACUAGGGUGGUUUUCCAAGGGCAAGGCUUAUCCAUUGCACUCUGGAUUCAGUGUGGGAAACUAGACUGCAUAGUUUGUGGUAAUGGGGACAGGGAUGAAGGGAGGGGACUUA
rnacentral:snRNA from 8 species